rnacentral:rRNA from 1 species
GACGGAAGGUGCAAGCGUUGCUCGGAAUCACUGGGCGUAAAGGGUGCGUAGGCGGCUUGGUAAGUUGGGUGUGAAAGCCCCGGGCUCAGCCCGGGAAGGGCACUCGAAACUGCCGAGCUGGAGUGCCGGAGGGGAGAGUGGAAUUCCUGGUGUAGCGGUGAAAUGCGUAGAUAUCAGGAGGAAUACCGGUGGCGAAAGCGACUCUCUGGA